UCAAUACAGUAUACACUACGCAACGGCCAACAGUCACAUUAAACCCUAAACCCCGGCCACCAAAAUUUAAUUUCACCGAUGAAUCAAUUCCUCAUAGUUCUUCACCUCUCCGAUCAUUCUUUUCUUACAUAACAACAAUACCAACUUUUACUUUACUUUUCCCUCAUACUUUUAAACCACACACUAUUUCUCUUCUAAUUUUUUCAAACACUAAAAUAAAAACUCUCACUGCUAAAAAAUUUCACUUCGUCUACUUCAAAUGGGAAGACUCAGUUUGUUAGGGCUGUAUCGGCGGCAUUUACUGUCUUCUGGAACAGUAAAACCGGCCAUCGAUAACGACGAUUUGCUUCGAAGAGUUUCUUCAUCUCGCUCACAAGCUUUGCAUAGUUGCAGUUUUGUAUUAGGGAAACCUGUUGAUUACGCAGUCGCAAGAGUGCGGUUCGGAAAUCGUUAUAUUCAUGCCACAGGAUUUUGUUCUUCGAAUCAACGUGACUACUAUGAAAUUCUUGGCGUUUCGAAAAAUGCCAGUCGAGAUGAGAUAAAGAAAGCAUUCCAUGCUCUUGCAAAGAAGUACCAUCCAGACGCGAAUAAGAACAACGCAUCUGCAAAGAGAAAAUUUCAAGAGAUAAGAGAAGCUUAUGAGAUUUUAAAUGAUUCUGAGAAGAGGGCACAGUAUGAUAGGAAGCGCACACAAGGUAAAGAAAAUGUAGAAUAUGCUGCUGGUGAUGCAGAGGGGUUUAGAUAUGCUUAUCGAACUCAUUUCUCUGAUUCAUUCCAUAAAAUAUUCUCUGAGAUCUUUGAAGAAGAGGCCGAUCCAUUUGUAUCUGAUAUCCAGGUCGAGCUGUCACUCUCCUUUUCUGAGGCUGUAAAAGGAUGCACAAAGGAUCUGUCUUUUGAUGCAUUUGUGCCCUGUGAUUCUUGCUAUGGGCGUGGCUAUCCACCUGAUGCCAAGACAAAAGUUUGUCCAACUUGCGGAGGCACAGGGAGUGUAACAAUUCCUCCGUUUACAUCAAGGUGUGGCUCUUGUAAAGGGUCUGGUCGAAUCAUUAAGGAACACUGUAUGUCAUGUAGAGGAUCAGGGACGGUUGAAGGUGUAAAGGAGAUUAAAGUUACAAUUCCAGCAGGUGUGGACUCUGGAGAUACAAUUCGUGUACCAGGAGCUGGUAAUGGAGGACGAGGAAGUCAACCUGGCAACUUAUUCAUUAAGCUAAAGGUUGCUGAAGAUCCUGUCUUUACUAGAGACGGUGCAGAUAUCUAUGUGAACUCUAAUAUCAGCUUUACCCAAGCUAUUCUGGGUGGCAUGGUCGAUGUGCCAACUUUAUCGGGGAAGAUGCAAAUAAAAAUACCAAAAGGGGUUCAGCCAGGACAACUUCUGGUUCUAAGAGGCAAAGGACUGCCAAAGCAUGGCUUUCUUGUAGACCAUGGAGAUCAGUAUGUUCGCUUCCGUGUUAACUUUCCCAGUGAAAUAAAUGAACGCCAGCGUGCUAUACUUGAAGAAUUAGCAGUUGAGGAAAUAAAUUGCUCAAACAGUAACUCAGCUGAAGGAAACUGGUGGCAGCAAAUUCUUGAACGUAUAACGGGUUCUAGGUUUAUGCUUGAACUAUCUCUAUUCAUGUUGAUCCUGCUGUUCCUGAACAAAACCAUGGGCUGAUAGCUGACUCAAGGUGAUUUUGAUGAAGAUAUCUGGACCAAGCCUCAAUGAAACAGGAUCACUGCCUUUCUCAACCUUCGGACUUUUGUUGAUAAAAGGUCCUAUGUUUGUACACACAUACUAUUGUUGUAAAGAACUAGUUAUAUUUUGAUUAUAUUAUAAUAAUAAUGUUCAUCUACUUAUGUCUGUCUUCCAUUCUUUUCAGAUCUUUCAUUAAGAUUUUCUUUUCUACUGAAAAGUUUCAUUGUAUAAUUCAGUUCUACUUGUCCAAAAAAAAUAAACUCAAUUCUGAAGCUAAGCGAUGAGUAAUGUUAC